rnacentral:rRNA from 1 species
GACGAACCACACAAACGUUAUUCGGAAUUACUGGGCUUAAAGGUGCGUAGGCGGCGCAGAAAGUAGGGUGUGAAAUCCCUCGGCUCAACCGAGGAACUGCGCCCUAAACUACUGUGCUCGAGGGAGGUAGAGGUGAGCGGAACUUAGGGUGGAGCGGUGAAAUGCGUUGAUAUCCUAAGGAACACCGGUGGCGAAAGCGGCUCACUGGACCUCUUCUGACGCUGAGGCACGAAAGCUAGGGUAGCGAACGGG